rnacentral:rRNA from 1 species
CGAACGGGAAUCUUCGGAUUCUAGUGGCGGACGGGUGAGUAACGCGUAAGAAUCUAACUUCAGGACGGGGACAACAGUUGGAAACGACUGCUAAUACCCGAUGUGCCGCAAGGUGAAAACUAAUUGGCCUGAAGAAGAGCUUGCGUCUGAUUAGCUAGUUGGUGGGGUAAGAGCCUACCAAGGCGACGAUCAGUAGCUGGUCUGAGAGGAUGAGCAGCCACACUGGGACUGAGACACGGCCCAGACUCCUACGGGAGGCAGCAGUGGGGAAUUUUCCGCAAUGGGCGAAAGCCUGACGGAGCAACGCCGCGUGAGGGAGGAAGGUCUUUGGAUUGUAAACCUCUUUUCUCAAGGAAGAAGUUCUGACGGUACUUGAGGAAUCAGCCUCGGCUAACUCCGUGCCAGCAGCCGCGGUAAUACGGGGGAGGCAAGCGUUAUCCGGAAUUAUUGGGCGUAAAGCGUCCGCAGGUGGUCAGCCAAGUCUGCCGUCAAAUCAGGUUGCUUAACGACCUAAAGGCGGUGGAAACUGGCAGACUAGAGAGCAGUAGGGGUAGCAGGAAUUCCCAGUGUAGCGGUGAAAUGCGUAGAGAUUGGGAAGAACAUCGGUGGCGAAAGCGUGCUACUGGGCUGUAUCUGACACUCAGGGACGAAAGCUAGGGGAGCGAAAGGGAUUAGAUACCCCUGUAGUCCUAGCCGUAAACGAUGGAUACUAGGCGUGGCUUGUAUCGACCCGAGCCGUGCCGAA